ACAGAAGCCCCAAGCUGUGCCCAACUGGGCAGAGGGAUCCUCCUCCCGUUGUCGCUGUUGGAUAGCUGGAUUCUGACUACAGAGGAAAAAGUCUGUUCACUACAACAGAAAACUUUAAGUGGCAAAGAAAGCCACCAGGAUGCUGUGUUGCAUCAAGAAGGGCAUCACCAGCAGAGAUCGAGAAGUAAUUGUCCUACUCUACUGAGUGCUGGUCAUACUAUACCUGGAGCCCUGUCUGCUAUACAAGAAAGAACAUGGAUAGGCUGGAAAGUGUCCAAAGAAGUGCCACAAGACCGACCACGGGACUGGAAAUGCUGCCAUGCAAGGUAAGCUCCCAUGGUGAUGCAGAGCAAUGAAGGUGGGAAGCCUUGGUGAGCCUAGCAGUAAUAUGCCUUCCAAGGGGCCAGAAGAAAGUCAUGUAGCAAGAAAAACGAGUAGCAGGAGGCACUGCUAAAACUUGCUGUGUUUGUUAGUUUACUGCUGUAACAAAGAUAUAAUCUGUCUUUUAGAGCUGGAGCUUAAAACUAUCCUCAGAACAAUUGGGGUUUGAUCCUGUGCCAUCUCAAAUCUUUUCCAAGCCCCUCAGGGAUUUUGGAGUUGCCCCUGUACAUGGUGGGCCAGUUGCCACUCACUGUUGCACUGGGGGACAUCCAGAGGUGUCCCUGUGACAUUAAAAUAAACUAACUUGGACCCCUGAAGAUCUCAGUUGUUUAGCCACCUCAGAGCACUGAUGUACAGUAUCCUCCAAUCUCACUGCACCUGAAACACUCAGGAUCUGUGACUGGGUUGGCCUACAACAAGCCCAAUUACCCCAACUUCAAGAAAACCACAAGCACAUGAUGCAGAUCUCUGAACAAACCUCUAACCGCAGCACCUGGAGUAGCUCAGCUCUGCCUGGCAAUGGCAGACUGGCUCUAGAAGGGAAUAUUUUUCUGGCUUUCAAGUACCUGCCAUGGAGUGAGGCACUGGCUCAUUUUCCUCACUGCAUGGGCAUAGCUAGCUCACUUAUUCACUGUUCUCCUCCCCAGCGUGGCUCCAAGUUUAUGGCUCAGGCUAUGCCCUGCUAUGUCCAUGCUUUUGGUCUCAUGCCACAAUCCAAUUUACCUGGCAGCUUACCACAUUUCUUCUCUGGUGCUGGAUUGUUUUCUGUCUCCCUCUGACUUGGCUCUUAGCCUGUAGAAUAGCUUUAAUUAAAAAGUUAAUGAAAGGUGAUGCAAACGAGCACUUUGCCUGUAUUUUAUCACAGUCCAGCUCUUCUCCCUCCCUCUUUCCCAGAGAUGGUGAAAAUGAGGAGCUGGGAUUUUGCUUUUUGUGGAGACUUAACAAUAGAAAAUUCUGCAGGCUUAGGAGGAGCCCUAUGAAGAAAGUGCUUAUAAUGGUAAUGCACGGAAACAAGUAUGUAAAUGGUGAACAUCCUUCAGCAAUGACAGCUGAGGAAGUUUUCAUUUAAAGAGGAUUAAUCUAAAACCCUUGCAGUCCUCCUGCUCUCUUUGGACAGGCAAUUCUUAGCAUCACUUUCCUCCUAAGCUUGAUGCAAACUUCUAGAAAAUGUUCUGAGAGACUGUCUGUCCCCCAGCUCCAAA